GGGCUGGUCCCUCAGUUGGGGUGGUCAGGGAGGGCUGCUCGGAGGAGGGGACCUGGCUGAGACCUGAGGGCUAAGAAGGAGCCAGCCUCGCAAAGUUCUUGGGGAAGGGUGUCUCAGGCAGAGGGAACAGCAAGCACAAACAAAUGUCUCGAGACGGGAACAAAAAUUUGGUGUGUUUGAGGAACAGAAAAAAAGGAAGUGAGAAUGAGAAGGGAGAGCAGGAGGGAAGGGUGGGAGGGUGGGGAGGGGAGGGGCAGGGAGAGGGAGAGGAAAACAAGCUUUGGACAGGGGGAGGGUUUCUGGGUGGCCCCAGCAGCCUCAGAAGGGGAGGGAGGGCUGUGGGACGUGGUCUCCAAGGUAGGGUUCACUGUCACCCUCUCCUCCUGGCUCUUGAGGAGUGCAUACACCUCUCCCCCUUCCCCACUCAGGCUGUCUGCCCUGUCCUCUUCCCCUGCAGCGUCUACAGUCUGACCCCAGCUCCCCCGUUGCUACAGAGCUCAUGGCUUCCUUCUGAGCGGGAAGACAGGGCUCUUGUAUAUAGUUCCUGCCUGUAGGCGUUCAUUCAUUAAUUCAUUUAUCCACUCACCCAUAAAGUGUUGAUUUGUCUCAGCUCUUUUGCUUUUGCAGGUCCCUGUGCCUGGCACAUUGUCUUGUAUUCCUCAGGGCUCUGCUUCCCAUAUGGUGCCUCUUCCAAGAUGCCUUCCCUGACUACCCCCAGCUAAUUUAGCCCGUUAUACCCUGUUAGCAACUGUGCUGCUCUUCACGAUAAAACAGGAUAGGCUGGUGCUCCCAGGGGCUCUCUCUAUACGUAAGAGAUAUAUUAGCCCAAUGGGCAUUCAUUUCCCUUCUCGUUUUCUUUUGGGAACCAUCCUUUCCUUCUCUCUGUGCAAUUUGUUGAUGUCAGCCCCAUUCCCCAGCUCCACAAAUGAGCACAUCACCCAGGGAAAGCCAAUGAGAGACGGCUGUAGGACUUUUGCUGGAGCUACUGGAACGCUGAGUUUUGUGCUGCCGUGGUUGCUUACCUGGUAGGCUGGCAGGCUGGCACUGCCGGGGGAGGAGAGGGCCUGCCUGAAAACGAAAUCCAUAUCGAGGGAAGAAAAGGUGAAAGAAGGAGAGAUGUACAGUCCGGAGAUUGUUGGAGCACCUGGAUCCAGCCAUACCUGAAAUCCAAACUCCCUCCCGCUGGACUUUUUCACUGUAAGAAUCAGUAAGUUCCCUUGGUGCUUAAGCUAGUUUGGGUUUCCGUAGCCUCCAAGGUAACAAAGCCUCAAAGAUAUGCAGGCAGCCAAGCUUAGGUACUUUCCCCUUGAGGGAUGUGGGCAGGUGUUUCCCUCACUCAGAAGUCACGUCCCCUCUAGAGGCUCCUUUUCUACAAGACCUGAAUGUUUGGGGUUCGCUCCACCUGAGGCAAAAAAGCAGAAGCAAAGUGCGAGGCCAGAGGUGGGGUGCCUACAGAAACAGCCAUGCGACCAGCAGCAGGAAGUGGGAAUCUGCAUUAUUACUGUGCUAACCCAUUUCCCCGCUUCUUGGUGGGCUGAGCCCUGAUUGUCUUAGCUUGUUUAUUAGCUCUGUCCAUGUGUUUCGGGGAGGUGUCUAAGCCAGUCAUAGUUCCCCAGUCUCCCGGUCAGUGACUGGUUCUGGAAGGAGCCGUGACUCACUCCUAGACAAGAACAUGUGAGGAGGAAAUGAAGGCUGGCGCUGUGGCAGCUAUGUUGCCACCUUAAGGGAAGACACUGCCCACGUGCCGAGGAAUCUUCAUCCGACACCGUUGAACGUGAACACCGUUCACAAGAACACCGUUCAACGGGUGGGCUGACCCCUGUACAACCUCCCUACCUUGGUGAGAUUAGCUGUUUGGGAAAAUAAUAAAGGCCUUUAGUUUGGAAGGUA